rnacentral:rRNA from 1 species
AUUGAACGCUGGCGGCAGGCCUAACACAUGCAAGUCGAGCGGAUGAGUGGAGCUUGCUCCAUGAUUCAGCGGCGGACGGGUGAGUAAUGCCUAGGAAUCUGCCUGGUAGUGGGGGACAACGUUUCGAAAGGAACGCUAAUACCGCAUACGUCCUACGGGAGAAAGCAGGGGACCUUCGGGCCUUGCGUUAUCAGAUGAGCCUAGGUCGGAUUAGCUAGUAGGUGAGGUAAUGGCUCACCUAGGCGACGAUCCGUAACUGGUCUGAGAGGAUGAUCAGUCACACUGGAACUGAGACACGGUCCAGACUCCUACGGGAGCAGCAGUGAGGAAUAUUGGACAA